rnacentral:rRNA from 1 species
AUUUCCUACGGGAGGCAGCAGUGGGGAAUAUUGCACAAUGGGGGAAACCCUGAUGCAGCAACGCCGCGUGAGUGAAGAAGUAUUUCGGUAUGUAAAGCUCUAUCAGCAGGGAAGAAGAUGACGGUACCUGACCAAGAAGCCCCGGCUAACUACGUGCCAGCAGCCGCGGUAAUACGUAGGGGGCAAGCGUUAUCCGGAUUUACUGGGUGUAAAGGGAGCGCAGACGGCAGCGCAAGUCUGGAGUGAAAGCCCGGGGCCCAACCCCGGAACUGCUCUGGAAACUGUGCGGCCAGAGUACUGGCGGG